rnacentral:tRNA from 1 species
GAGGAUUUAGCUUAAUUAAAGUGUUUGAUUUGCAUUCAAUUGAU